UCAACUGUCUCCUUCCUCCAAUCAAUGAAAUUGAUCUUCUCGUGAAGAAGCGAGAAUAUUAUUAUUAGACGAGAAGACCCCAUGGAGCUUUAAACUCAUUACCAAUUACUUAACCACUAAACCAUAAUAUGUAGUAAAAAUGUUCUUAAUAGUUUUCGGCUGGGGUGGCCCUGGAGUAAAACAAAUCCUCCAGAAUGAACGGAAUAAAGCCCUAAUCUAAGAAUUACAGCUCAAAGAAUCAAAAAACUGACAUUAUUGAUCCAAUUAAUUGAUUAACGAAACAAGUUACCCUGGGGAUAACAGCGCAAUCCAUUUUGAGAGCCCCUAUCAACAAAUGGGUUUACGACCUCGAUGUUGGAUCGGGGUAUCCCGGUGGCGCAGCCGCUACUAAUGGUUCGUUUGUUCAACGAUUAAUAACCCCACGUGAUCUGAGUUCAAACCNGAUC
rnacentral:rRNA from 1 species